rnacentral:rRNA from 1 species
CCUACGGGAGGCAGCAGUGGGGAAUAUUGGGCAAUGGGCACAAGCCUGACCCAGCAACGCCGCGUGAAGGAAGAAGGCUUUCGGGUUGUAAACUUCUUUUGUCAGGGACGAAGCAAGUGACGGUACCUGACGAAUAAGCCACGGCUAACUACGUGCCAGCAGCCGCGGGAAUACGUAGGUGGCAAGCGUUACACGGAUUACUGGGGUGUAAAGGCGGUGGGGGCGGGACUGCAAGUCAGAUGUGAAAACCACGGGCUCAACCUGUGGCCUGCAUUUGAAACUGUAGUUCUUGAGUACUGGAGAGGCAGACGGAAUUCCUAGUGUAGCGGUGAAAUGCGUAGAUAUUAGGAGGAACACCAGUGGCGAAGGCGGUCUGCUGGACAGCAACUGACGCUGAGGCGCGAAAGCGUGGGGAGCAAACAGGAUUAGAUACCCCUGUAGUC